AAACGGGUGAGUAACACGUGGGAACGUAGCCUUUUGCUACGGAAUAACGCAGGGUUUUCUUGUGCUCCUACCGUAUGAGCCCUUUGGGGGAAAGAUUUAUCGGCAAAGGAUCGGCCCGCGUUGGAUUAGCUAGUUGGUGGGGUAAAGGCCUACCAAGGCGACGAUCCAUAGCUGGUCUGAGAGGAUGAUCAGCCACACUGGGACUGAGACACGGCCCAAACUCCUACGGGAGGCAGCAGUGGGGAAUAUUGGACAAUGGGCGCAAGCCUGAUCCAGCCAUGCCGCGUGAGUGAUGAAGGCCCUAGGGUUGUAAAGCUCUUUCACCGGAGAAGAUAAUGACGGUAUCCGGAGAAGAAGCCCCGGCUAACUUCGUGCCAGCAGCCGCGGUAAUACGAAGGGGGCUAGCGUUGUUCGGAAUUACUGGGCGUAAAGCGCACGUAGGCGGACAUUUAACUCAGGGGCGAAAUCCCGGGGCUCAACCUCGNGAACUGCCUUUGAUACUGGGUGUCUUGAGUGUGGAAGAGGUAAGUGGAAUUCCGAGUGUAGAGGUGAAAUUCGUAGAUAUUCGGAGGAACACCAGUGGCGAAGGCGGCUUACUGGUCCAUUACUGACGCUGAGGU
rnacentral:rRNA from 1 species